GAUGAACGCUGGCGGCGUGCCUAAUACAUGCAAGUCGAGCGAACGGACGAGAAGCUUGCUUCUCUGAUGUUAGCGGCGGACGGGUGAGUAACACGUGGAUAACCUACCUAUAAGACUGGGAUAACUUCGGGAAACCGGAGCUAAUACCGGAUAAUAUUUUGAACCGCAUGGUUCAAAAGUGAAAGACGGUCUUGCUGUCACUUAUAGAUGGAUCCGCGCUGCAUUAGCUAGUUGGUAAGGUAACGGCUUACCAAGGCAACGAUGCAUAGCCGACCUGAGAGGGUGAUCGGCCACACUGGAACUGAGACACGGUCCAGACUCCUACGGGAGGCAGCAGUAGGGAAUCUUCCGCAAAGGGCGAAAGCCUGACGGAGCAACGCCGCGUGAGUGAUGAAGGUCUUCGGAUCGUAAAACUCUGUUAUUAGGGAAGAACAUAUGUGUAAGUAACUGUGCACAUCUUGACGGUACCCAAUCAGAAAGCCACGGCUAACUACGUG
rnacentral:rRNA from 1 species